GACGAACGCUGGCGGCGUGCUUAACACAUGCAAGUCGAACGGAAAGGCCCUUCGGGGUACUCGAGUGGCGAACGGGUGAGUAACACGUGGGUGAUCUGCCCUGCACUUUGGGAUAAGCCUGGGAAACUGGGUCUAAUACCGAAUAGGACACGGCCUUCAUGGGUUGUGGUGGAAAGCUUUUGCGGUGUGGGAUGGGCCCGCGGCCUAUCAGCUUGUUGGUGGGGUAAUGGCCUACCAAGGCGACGACGGGUAGCCGGCCUGAGAGGGUGACCGGCCACACUGGGACUGAGAUACGGCCCAGACUCCUACGGGAGGCAGCAGUGGGGAAUAUUGCACAAUGGGCGCAAGCCUGAUGCAGCGACGCCGCGUGAGGGAUGACGGCCUUCGGGUUGUAAACCUCUUUCAGCAGGGACGAAGCGCAAGUGACGGUACCUGUAGAAGAAGGACCGGCCAACUACGUGCCAGCAGCCGCAGUAA
rnacentral:rRNA from 1 species